rnacentral:rRNA from 1 species
GAUGAACGCUGGCGGCGUGCCUAAUACAUGCGAGUCGAGCGAAUGGAUUAAGAGCUUGCUCUUAUGAAGUUAGCGGCGGACGGGUGAGUAACACGUGGGUAACCUGCCCAUAAGACUGGGAUAACUCCGGGAAACCGGGGCUAAUACCGGAUAACAUUUUGAACCGCAUGGUUCGAAAUUGAAAGGCGGCUUCGGCUGUCACUUAUGGAUGGACCCGCGUCGCAUUCGCUAGUUGGUGAGGUAACGGCUCACCAAGGCAACGAUGCGUAGCCGACCUGAGAGGGUGAUCGGCCACACUGGGACUGAGACACGGCCCAGACUCCUACGGGAGACAGCAGUAGGGAAUCUUCCGCAAUGGACGAAAGUCUGACGGAGCAACGCCGCGUGAGUGAUGAAGGCUUUCGGGUCGUAAAACUCUGUUGUUAGGGAAGAACAAGUGCUAGUUGAAUAAGCUGGCACCUUGGCGGUACCUAACCAGAAAGCCACGGCUAACUACGUGCCAGCAGCCGCAGUAA